CCUACGGGGGGCAGCAGUGGGGAAUAUUGCGCAAUGGGCGAAAGCCUGACGCAGCGACACCGCGUGAGGGAUGAAGGUCUUCGGAUCGUAAACCUCUUUCAGCAGGGAAGAACGGUCACUGUGCUAAUCAGCAGUGAAUUGACGGUACCUGCAAAGUAAGCACCGGCUAACUCCGUGCCAGCAGCCGCGGUAAUACGGAGGGUGCGAGCGUUAAUCGGAAUUACUGGGCGGAAAGCGCUCGUAGGCGGUAUGUCAAGUCAAGGGUGAAAUCCCCGCGCUCAACGUGGGAACUGCCUUUGAAACUGGCAAACUGGAGUGUGUGAGAGGAUAGUGGAAUUCCAGGUGUAGGAGUGAAAUCCGUAGAUAUCUGGAGGAACAUCAGUGGCGAAGGCGACUAUCUGGAACAUAACUGACGCUGAGGAGCGGAAGCGUGGGUAGCAAACAGGAUUAGAUACCCUUGUAGUC
rnacentral:rRNA from 1 species